rnacentral:rRNA from 1 species
CAGUCGCCACGGUAAUACGUAGGGCGCAAGCGUUAUCCGGAAUUAUUGGGCGUAAAGAGCUCGUAGGCGGUUCGUCGCGUCUGCCGUGAAAGUCCGGGGCCCAACCCCGGAUCUGCGGUGGGUACGGGCAGACUAGAGUGAUGUAGGGGAGACUGGAAUUCCUGGUGUAGCGGUGAAAUGCGCAGAUAUCAGGAGGAACACCGAUGGCGAAGGCAGGUCUCUGGGCAUUAACUGACGCUGAGGAGCGAAAGCAUGGGGAGCGAACAGGAUUAGAUACCCCGGUAGUCCCUGUCUCUUAUAC